rnacentral:rRNA from 1 species
GGGCGCAAGCCUGAUGCAGCAACGCCGCGUGAGGGACGACGGCCUUCGGGUUGUAAACCUCUUUUAGCAGGGAAGAAGCGAAAGUGACGGUACCUGCAGAAAAAGCACCGGCUAACUACGUGCCAGCAGCCGCGGUAAUACGUAGGGUGCAAGCGUUGUCCGGAAUUAUUGGGCGUAAAGAGCUCGUAGGCGGUCUGUCACGUCUGCUGUGAAAACCCGAGGCUCAACCUCGGGCUUGCAGUGGGUACGGGCAGACUAGAGUGCGGUAGGGGAGAUUGGAAUUCCUGGUGUAGCGGUGGAAUGCGCAGAUAUCAGGAGGAACACCGAUGGCGAAGGCAGAUCUCUGGGCCGUAACUGACGCUGAGGAGCGAAAGCAUGGGGAGCAAACAGGCUUAGAUACCCUGGUAGUCCAUGCCGUAAACGUUGGGAACUAGAUGUGGGGACCAUUCCACGGUCUCCGUGUCGUAGCUAACGCAUUAAGUUCCCCGCCUGGGGAGUACGGCCGCAAGGCUAAAACUCAAAUGAAUUGACGGGG